UACGUAGGGUGCAAGCGUUAAUCGGAAUUACUGGGCGUAAAGCGUGCGCAGGCGGUUGUGCAAGACAGAUGUGAAAUCCCCGGGCUUAACCUGGGAACUGCAGUUGUGACUGCACGGCUAGAGUGCGGCAGAGGGGGAUGGAAUUCCGCGUGUAGCAGUGAAAUGCGUAGAUAUGCGGAGGAACACCGAUGGCGAAGGCAAUCCCCUGGGCCUGCACUGACGCUGAGGAGCGAAAGCAUGGGGAGCGACAGG
rnacentral:rRNA from 1 species